rnacentral:rRNA from 1 species
UAAGGAAUAUUGGUCAAUGGACGCAAGUCUGAACCAGCCAUGCCGCGUGGAGGAUGAAGGUCCUCUGGAUUGUAAACUUCUUUUAUUUGGGAAGAAACCCAUAUUUUCUAAUGUGGUUGACGGUACCAGAUGAAUAAGCACCGGCUAACUCCGUGCCAGCAGCCGCGGUAAUACGGAGGGUGCAAGCGUUAUCCGGAUUCACUGGGUUUAAAGGGUGCGUAGGCGGGUUGGUAAGUCCGUGGUGAAAUCUCCAAGCUUAACUUGGAAACUGCCGUGGAUACUAUCAAUCUUGAAUGUCGUGGAGGUAAGCGGAAUAUGUCAUGUAGCGGUGAAAUGCUUAGAGAUGACAUAGAACACCAAUUGCGUAGGCAGCUUACUACACGAAUAUUGACGCUGAGGCACGAAAGCGUGGGGAGCAAACA